GGCUGGACCAGCCUCACGUGAUGAACCCCGCUCUCUGACGGCUCUGGUGGUGAUGAGCAUCAAACCAAAGCCUCUAAGAAGUUGACUGAAGAGGCUGUUCUCCA